GGGGAAACCCACCCGAGAUAACUCGGGUAUCUGUUACUGAAUACAUAGGUAACAGAGGCGAACCGGGAGAACUGAAACAUCUAAGUACCCCGAGGAAAAGAAAUCAACCGAGAUUCCCUCAGUAGCGGCGAGCGAACGGGGAUUAGCCCUUAAGCAUCUUGGAAGUUAGUGGAACGGUCCUGGAAAGGCCGGCGAUACAGGGUGAUAGCCCCGUACACGAAAACAACCUUGAUGUGAAAUCGAGUAGGGCGGGACACGUGACAUCCUGUCUGAAUAUGGGGGGACCAUCCUCCAAGGCUAAAUACUCCUGACUGACCGAUAGUGAACCAGUACCGUGAGGGAAAGGCGAAAAGAACCCCUGUGAGGGGAGUGAAAUAGAACCUGAAACCGUGUACGUACAAGCAGUGGGAGCCCUUCGGGGUGACUGCGUACCUUUUGUAUAAUGGGUCAGCGACUUACAUUUUGUAGCGAGGUUAACCGUAUAGGGGAGCCGUAGGGAAACCGAGUCUUAACUGGGCGUCUAGUUGCAAGGUGUAGACCCGAAACCGGGUGAUCUAGCCAUGGGCAGGUUGAAGGUUGAGUAACAUCAACUGGAGGACCGAACCCACUAACGUUGCAAAGUUAGGGGAUGACCUGUGGCUGGGGGUGAAAGGCCAAUCAAACUCGGAGAUAGCUGGUUCUCCCCGAAAGCUAUUUAGGUAGCGCCUCGGACGAAUACUACUGGGGGUAGAGCACUGUUUGGGCUAGGGGGUCAUCCCGACUUACCAACCCCAUGCAAACUCCGAAUACCAGUAAGUAAUAUCCGGGAGACACACGGCGGGUGCUAACGUCCGUCGUGAAGAGGGAAACAACCCAGACCGCCGGCUAAGGUCCCAAAGUUCUGGUUAAGUGGGAAACGAUGUGGGAAGGCUCAGACAGCUAGGAUGUUGGCUUAGAAGCAGCCAUCAUUUAAAGAAAGCGUAAUAGCUCACUAGUCGAGUCGGCCUGCGCGGAAGAUGUAACGGGGCUCAAACCA
rnacentral:rRNA from 1 species